rnacentral:rRNA from 1 species
ACGCUGGCGGCGUGCCUAACACAUGCAAGUCGAACGAGAUGCGUAUCGGAAAGCUUCGGCCGGAAGAUACGUUAUCUAGUGGCGGACGGGUGAGUAACACGUGGGUAACCUGCCUAAUGGAGGGGGAUAACAGAGAGAAAUCACUGCUAAUACCGCAUAAGCACACAGUACCGCAUGGUACAGGGUGAAAAGAUUUAUCGCCAUAAGAUGGACCCGCGUCUGAUUAGCCAGUUGGCAGGGUAAAAGCCUACCAAAGCAACGAUCAGUAGCCGAUCUGAGAGGAUGACCGGCCACAUUGGGACUGAGACACGGCCCAAACUCCUACGGGAGGCAGCAGUGGGGAAUAUUGCACAAUGGGGGAAACCCUGAUGCAGCGACGCCGCGUGAGUGAAGAAGUAUUUCGGUAUGUAAAGCUCUAUCAGUAGGGAAGAUAAUGACAGUACCUGACUAAGAAGCCCCGGCUAACUACGUGCCAGCAGCCGCGGUAAUACGUAGGGGGCAAGCGUUAUCCGGAUUUACUGGGUGUAAAGGGAGCGUAGACGGAAUGGCAAGUCUGAAGUGAAAUACCCGGGCUCAACCUGGGAACUGCUUUGGAAACUGUUGUUCUAGAGUGUUGGAGAGGUAAGUGGAAUUCCUGGUGUAGCGGUGAAAUGCGUAGAUAUCAGGAAGAACACCGGAGGCGAAGGCGGCUUACUGGACAAUAACUGACGUUGAGGCUCGAAAGCGUGGGGAUCAAACAGGAUUAGAUACCCUGGUAGUCCACGCUGUAAACGAUGAAUACUAGGUGUCGGGGUGCAAAGCAUCUCGGUGCCGUCGCUAACGCAAUAAGUAUUCCACCUGGGGAGUACGUUCGCAAGAAUGAAACUCAAAGGAAUUGACGGGGACCCGCACAAGCGGUGGAGCAUGUGGU